AGCAGGAGGGCGGAGAGCGGCGAACCGGGCCAGGGACUCAUGCUGGCAAGGCCCUUAGGAGAAGUGGGGAAGGCACGCGAGCCAAAGCACUGAAGGCGGGGACUGAGGCCACAGCUGCUGUGCUAGUGCCUUAAAAUAGAGGUGCUGGAAACCGGCAACCCGGAGGGGGGCGGGGUCUCGGGGCCGCGGGGGCUGGGCGCCUGCUAGUGGCACCGCCCCUUAGGUAGGGGCCUCUGGAGAGCGCGCCCGUCACCUGGCGGCCGUCGGACCUCAGGCCCAGAGAGCCCAGCACCAGGUUCAGUUGCCAAGGGACACCUCCAAAGAGGACUGCAGAGCCACAGCUGGUCUGUGCGCGCCCCAGACUGCGCUCCUUCGCUCCUUGAGAAGUAACAGAGAGAGAGAGAGAGACUAAGAGAAAAAGAGAGAGGAAGAGACAGAGAGGAGAGCUGAGACUGCAAGGUAAACCAGCUGAAUUCCAAUGCAUGGCAUACGGCUCUGAGAAGAGAUGAAUCUAAAGAACGAUUUCAUUUCUGACAGAACAUUAGAAGAAGGUAUUGCUGUCAUCACAGCAGAAACACGUAAGGAGCAGCAACUUCAAAGCUGUAAAUCCACUUCCUGAAAAGCGAAUUUGGAAACAAGAUCUAUACAAAGAUGAGCAUUACAUACAAUGCAAGAGUUUGGUAUAUUUAUUUUUUUCAGCUUCAUGUAUGAUGAAAAAAAAUCUGUGUAUCUGAAAUACACAAAACAUGAUGCCCAUGGGGCUUUCCUGCAGUAUUUAGGAAAGAGGAACGCUUACAGAAUUGUAUUUGGCUCUAUCAAGCAAUGUUUUGGUGGAAAAUGACCAACAAGUUUAAUUUCUCUCAAAUGGGAAUCAUUCUGCCUCACUUCCUGGGAAGGAAAGCUAUAUAAAAAAAAAAGGAGUUAUGAACUGGGCUCUUAAUGCAUUUUUACUGCAUCCAUUGGAUGAAUGAAGAGAACUUCAAAGGCCUGCAGGAGAGACAAGAUAAAAGGAUCUUGGGUACCUGAGUGACUGUGUGGAGCAGAGACCAUCCAUUGACCUGCACUUCAAUGUCAAGUGAGAAACAAACUCUAUUUUGAGGGCUUUACCAGGCUGGAUGGAAGAAGGAAAGACCAUCAGUAAAGCAAAUGGCUCAAGUGGAGUUAUAAAUCAACUCUGUACUCUUCAGAGCAUUUAUUCAACUGAAGACAUAUCCAAAUUUAAAUCUCAACAACUGGAUCAAUUGGAAUCUAAGGGAUGAUGACCUUUUCUGACCCUCAUGACUUCAAUCAACUAGAGCUUGGACUCUGUCAUCCAAGCCCCUUCAUGAAUAUGCAUGUACCAAUAGCUUAAACUUCCCCAGUUUCGCUGUUCAGAGAGCCACUUCUUUGGGAAAAAUCCCUGGUAUUCUCCUUACUUGCAGCAAGUAAUAAGUCCUUCUCCAGCAAUCUGGCUUGGUUGUGUCUUUUGGCGACACCACCAAGAGGCUAACCCAGUUUUCAGGUAACAUUUCUACAUAAUUGAGCCUAAUUUAUACUUAUUCAUAUUUUUCUAUAUACACAGCAUUUAUUAUAUAUACAUAGUAAAAUGUGAUACAUUGUAUAAGAGGAAAGAUUUGAGUAGCAAGGAUUCCUAAGCUGGUUUGGGGAGAGGGUGAAGAAAACUUAGGAAGUCAUCUGAGCUGGACUUUAAAGCUUUUUAAAGGAGGACCGGACUUCCCUGGUGGCGCAGUGGUUGGGAGUCCGCCUGCCGAUG